rnacentral:rRNA from 1 species
UACAGAGGUCCCAAGCGUUGUUCGGAUUCAUUGGGCGUAAAGGGUGUGUAGGUGGCGCCGUAAGUCGGGUGUGAAAUCUCGGGGCUUAACUCCGAAACUGCACUUGAUACUGCAGUGCUCGAGGACUGGAGAGGAGAUUGGAAUUCAUGGUGUAGCAGUGAAAUGCGUAGAUAUCAUGAGGAAGACCAGUGGCGAAAGGCGGAUCUCUGGACAGUUCCUGACACUGAGGCACGAAGGCCAGGGGAGCAAACGGG